CUCACACAUUAACACUACGGCGGAAAGAAAUAUAGAGCGAAAAGUUGCCGCUGAAAAUUUAAUUCACGGCUCAACUGUCCACUGCACAUAGGUCUGCCAAACUGUGAAAGAUAUGUAGGGCUAUCAAGCACCCCAAAGCUAUUUAUCAACCUAAACGAGUUUGGACGUAAUUCAAUUUCUGGCGCCAGUUUCCGUCUCCUACUUAACAAUAUCAGCUGUGAUGAAUGACUUUAAGAAAGGGGCACAAGGAAAAAAAAUCGGAUCUAGUUCAUAUUUUGGGAUUCGAAGGUAAAGAUGUCAAGUCAUCGAGGACUUAAGUUCAUGAUAAAACUAUCAACAUCUUGUUGAGCAAGAAGGAAUUUUUCUAAGAUGGUCCAAUGAAAGAACGGAUGAGCUUCUUUUUUAAAGCCAUUCAGAGGUGAAUGUCGGAGUUACGAAAACAAAAUAAGCAAAGAAAGCUAUCGGAAGAAUGCCGAUUCAAACAGGCCUAGUACGUGACUUGUUUAAAAACCGUAAAAGUGGAAUCCUAUUUGGUAGAAAGUAUUUCAGGCGAUAUAACAUCUAAAACUCUGAUGAAGUGCCAUGCUUCUAUUACAUAUUUUUGUUGGUUUUUUUAGCAAUCAACUGAGAAUAAGUCAAUACAUGAGGAAAUUGAAACAUGUCUGAUAAUUUCAAAACUUAUUUUUAUUUCAAAUUAAGAAGACUUCUACUCUCACACCUCUGUUUUCCUUCUUUCUUCAUGUAGAUGUACUUUGAUGAUGCACAUUCUUCAUGUACUCAUGUUUUAAAGAUGUACUUUCUUCAUGUGUUCAUCUAGACAGUAUUUUAUAUAAUGGACGCUUUACAUUUAACCGCUUUUUACACCAAAUUUAGUUACUUUCUUAUUCAGUAAUU